CUCCUGGAUCUAUUGCUGUAACUCCUCAUGUUCAGUUGGGCUUAUGUGGUAUGCCAAUUUAUUUGGUAGAUUCACCCCAGGAACAUGAUCGAUGUGGUGUUAUAUGUCCCUUUCUAAUGGUAAUGUUGCAGGCAAGUCUUCAGAGAAUAUAUCAGCAAAUUUUUGGAGUAUAGGACGUACCAAAGGUGGAAUGUCACAUUCAGUUGACUCAUCCUUCUCCACC
rnacentral:lncRNA from 1 species